rnacentral:rRNA from 1 species
UACGGAGGGUGCAAGCGUUAAUCGGAAUUACUGGGCGUAAAGCGUGCGUAGGUGGUUCGUUAAGUCCGUUGUGAAAGCCCCGAGCUCAACUUGGAAAUUGCAGUGGAUACUGGCGAGCUGGAGUGCGGUAGAGGAAGGUGGAAUUCCCGGUGUAGCGGUGAAAUGCGUAGAGAUCGGGAGGAACACCAGUGGCGAAGGCGGCCUUCUGGACCAGCACUGACACUCAAGCACGGAAAGCGUGGGGAGCAACAGG